AAACCAACAGGGAUUGCCUUAGUAGCGGCGAGUGAAGCGGCAAGAGCUCAAAUUUGAAAUCUGGCACUUUCAGUGUCCGAGUUGUAAUUUGAAGAAGGUAUUCUUGGACUUGGCCCCCGUCUAUGUUCCUUGGAACAGGACGUCACAGAGGGUGAGAAUCCCGUGCGAUGGGGAGUCCUUGUCUAUGUAAGAUUCCUUCGAAGAGUCGAGUUGUUUGGGAAUGCAGCUCUAAGUGGGUGGUAAAUUCCAUCUAAAGCUAAAUAUUGGCGAGAGACCGAUAGCGAACAAGUACAGUGAUGGAAAGAUGAAAAGAACUUUGAAAAGAGAGUGAAAAAGUACGUGAAAUUGUUGAAAGGGAAGGGCAUUAGAUCAGACUUGGCAUUUGGCAAUCGUUGCUCCUCGGGGUGGCGCUCUUGCCUUUUGCUGGGCCAGCAUCGGUUCGGACGGCAGGAUAAUGACAGUUGAAUGUGGCUUCGCUUCGGUGAAGUGUUAUAGCUUCUGUUGAUGCUGCCUGUCUGGACCGAGGAAUGCGUCUUUUGACUAGGAUGCUGGCAUAAUG
rnacentral:rRNA from 1 species